rnacentral:rRNA from 1 species
GACGAACGCUGGCGGCGUGCUUAACACAUGCAAGUCGAACGGAAAGGCCCUGCUUUUGUGGGGUGCUCGAGUGGCGAACGGGUGAGUAACACGUGAGUAACCUGCCCUUGACUUUGGGAUAACUUCAGGAAACUGGGGCUAAUACCGGAUAGGAGCUCCUGCUGCAUGGUGGGGGUUGGAAAGUUUCGGCGGUUGGGGAUGGACUCGCGGCUUAUCAGCUUGUUGGUGGGGUAGUGGCUUACCAAGGCUUUGACGGGUAGCCGGCCUGAGAGGGUGACCGGGCACAUUGGGACUGAGAUACGGCCCAGACUCCUACGGGAGGCAGCAGUGGGGAAUAUUGCACAAUGGGCGGAAGCCUGAUGCAGCAACGCCGCGUGCGGGAUGACGGCCUUCGGGUUGUAAACCGCUUUCGCCUGUGACGAUGCGUGAGUGACGGUAAUGGGUAAAGAAGCACCGGCUAACUACGUG